rnacentral:rRNA from 1 species
GACGGAGGAGGCAAGCGUUAUCCGGAAUUAUUGGGCGUAAAGGGUACGUAGGCGGCUGGUCAAGUCUGGGGUCAAAGGCCACAGCUCAACUGUGGGAAGGCCCUGGAAACUGACCGGCUAGAGUGAGGUAGGGGUUGCGGGAAUUCCCGGUGUAGCGGUGAAAUGCGUAGAGACCGGGAAGAACACCUGAGGCGGAAGCGCGCAACUGGGCCCCAACUGACGCUGAGGUACGAAAGAUAGGGGAGCAAACAGG